rnacentral:rRNA from 1 species
UACGUAGGUGGCAAGCGUUGUCCGGAUUUACUGGGCGUAAAGCGCGUGUAGGCGGCCCGUUUAGUCUGUCGUGAAAUCUCCCGGCUUAACCGGGAUGGGUCGACGGAUACUGGCGAGCUUGAGGGGAGCAGAGGAAGGUGGAAUUCCCGGUGUAGUGGUGAAAUGCGUAGAUAUCGGGAGGAACACCAGUGGCGAAGGGCGGCCU